rnacentral:rRNA from 1 species
AACGCUGGCGGCAGGCCUACACAUGCAAGUCGAACGGACCUUUCGGGGUUAGUGGCGCACGGGUGAGUAACGCGUGGGAACUGUCCUUCGGUACGGGACAACCCGGGGAAACCCGGGCUAAUACCGUAUACGCCUUGCGAGGGAAAGAAUUUCGCCGAGGGGUGGGCCCGCGUCCGAUUAGCUAGUUGGUGGGGUAAAAGCCUACCAAGGCAUCGAUCGGUAGCUGGUCUGAGAGGAUGAUCAGCCACACUGGAACUGAGACACGGUCCAGACUCCUACGGGAGGCAGCAGUGGGGAAUAUUGGACAAUGGGCGCAAGCCUGAUCCAGCCAUGCCGCGUGAGCGAUGAAGGCCUUAGGGUUGUAAAGCUCUUUCACCGGCGACGAUGAUGACGGUAGCCGGAGAAGAAGCCCCGGCUAACUCCGUGCCAGCAGCCGCGGUAAUACGGAGGGGGCAAGCGUUGUUCGGAAUUACUGGGCGUAAAGGGCGCGCAGGCGGUUUGUCACGUCAGAUGUGAAAGCCCCGGGCUCAACCUGGGAGGUGCAUUUGAUACGGGCAGGCUGGAACCCGGCAGAGGGUGGUGGAAUUCCCAGUGUAGAGGUGAAAUUCGUAGAUAUUGGGAAGAACACCGAUGGCGAAGGCAGCCACCUGGGCCGGCGUUGACGCUGAGGCGCGAAAGCGUGGGGAGCAAACAGGAUUAGAUACCCUGGUAGUCCACGCCGUAAACGAUGUGCGCUAGCCGUCGGGCGGCAUGCCGUUCGGUGGUGUAAGCUAACGCGUUAAGCGCACCGCCUGGGGAGUACGGCCGCCAGGUUAAAACUCAAAGGAAUUGACGGGGGGCCCGCACAAGCGGGGGGAGCAUGUGCGUGUAUUCGAAGCAACGCGCAGAACCUUACCAGCUCUUGACAUGCCCCGUUACGGUCAUUUGAGACGAUGACCCUCGGUUCGGCCGGGCGGUACACAGUUGCUGCAUGGCUUUGUCAGCUCGUGUCGUGAGAUGUUGGGUUAAGUCCCGCAACGAGCGCAACCCC